rnacentral:rRNA from 1 species
UAGGGAAUCUUCGGCAAUGGACGAAAGUCUGACCGAGCAACGCCGCGUGAGUGAAGAAGGUUUUCGGAUCGUAAAACUCUGUUGUUAGAGAAGAACAAGGACGUUAGUAACUGAACGUCCCCUGACGGUAUCUAACCAGAAAGCCACGGCUAACUACGUGCCAGCAGCCGCGGUAAUACGUAGGUGGCAAGCGUUGUCCGGAUUUAUUGGGCGUAAAGCGAGCGCAGGCGGUUUCUUAAGUCUGAUGUGAAAGCCCCCGGCUCAACCGGGGAGGGUCAUUUGAAACUGGGAGACUUGAGUUCCGAAGAGGAGAGUGGAAUUCCAUGUGUAGCGGUGAAAUGCGUAGAUAUAUGGAGGAACACCAGUGGCGAAGGCGGCUCUCUGGUCUGUAACUGACGCUGAGGCUCGAAAGCGUGGGGAGCAAACAGG